UGUCUUUUUGAUUAUAAUUUAAAGUCCAAUCUGCCCACUGAGUAAUUAAAUGGCCGCGGUAUUUUGACCGUGCAAAGGUAGCAUAAUCAUUAGUUUUUUAAUUGAAAGCUGGUAUGAAUGAUUUGAUGAGAAAAUAACUGUCUCAAAUUAAUUUUUAAGAAUUUUAUAUUUAAGUUAAAAAGCUUAAAUAUUAUUAAAAGACGAGAAGACCCUAUAGAGUUUUAUAAAAUAAAUAAAUUAUUUAUAUAGUUUUAAGUAUAUAAUUUUUUAUAUUUUAUUUUGUUGGGGUGAUAAAAAAAUUAAAUAAACUUUUUUUAUAUUUAAACAUUAAUAAAUGAUUAUUUGAUCCAUUAAUAUUAUGAUUAAAAGAUUAAAUUACCUUAGGGAUAACAGCGUAAUUUUUUUUAAGAGUUCUAAUCGAAAAAAAAGAUUGCGACCUCGAUGUUGGAUUAAAGUAUAAUUUUGGUGUAGAAGCUAGAAUUUUAGGUCUGUUCGACCUUUAAAACUUU
rnacentral:rRNA from 1 species